rnacentral:lncRNA from 1 species
AACAAAUAACUUAGUCAAUCAAGCUCCUUUUUCUUUUGAGCCUAAGUACCACUUAAUCAGCCCCCCUAGACUCCUAAAUUGAAGUAUCACAGUAUAGAAUACAUGCACCAAGGUUGUUCUUCUCUUUUCCUUGUUUCCCCUUACCUAUCAUGGUCAAAGGAAAGGUUUUUGAUUCAUUCAUGCUUAUUCUCUUUGUAUAAG